UUUCAUCUCCUCUGCAAGGUGCUCGUCAUUUUGAGCGUAGCCGGCGAAAUUUCCCUCGUUCUUCUGGCUGGAUGUUGUUCUUCGUCUUCGGUUUCUCCGUCCGUUUUCUUUGCCGAUCCGAUCUAAGACCUCAUAGAUCUUUAGCUGGUGCUUUUAGUUUACUUUUCUUUUGAUUUCUCGGUCCAUCUUCGAUUAGGCUUUAGAUCUGUGGAUCAUCUUUUACUGUUCGAACGAUCUCUGAUUCUAUGGUUCUUUCUGUGAAUAUGAUAAAUUUUUUCGCUUAUUUUCUGUUAUAAAAAACAAAACUUAAGUAUUCUCUAACCAGUUGGAAUCGCCUAGAUGAAUCCUUUUCCUUUCCUUCUGCUCUGUUUCGGAAAGAUGUUGAGAGAUUAUGUUUCGGCAUAUUUAAUAGGAUAAUUUGUUUCAAGAUAUCGAUAAAUUCGCUGAUUGUUUUGAUUUGCUUGCGGAUCUUCGGUUUUGUAGCCUUUUUUUCAACUUCUCUCUUUUUCAAAGCAUACCCUUUCCAAGUUUUCUCAUCUCUUCUUGAUACUUCUCUGGAUCUAUAAGAAUAUUUCUGACUUUUUCAUAAUUUUUCUGUCGAUCGGAGAUAUAGGCUCUGUCGUUCUUCUUCUAAUUUUUCUUUUGGAAAUUUAAGCAAUUGUUUAUGAUUUUCGCUUUACACUUUUUUCGUUUUGUUAUACCUAUGAUUUUUUGAGGCCGGCACAGCUUGUUUAUGUGUUGGUAGUCUAUUUCUAUGAGGUAUUUUGCAGCUGGUUUUCUGUUGAUGGAAAAGGCUUUGGGCCCUGGAAGGUUCCAUCUUUGUUCUUGUUUCAGAUCUACGGGCGUCGGAUUUUUUUCCUGAUCUGUGCUGAUCGGGCUUGCGCGAUCGUCGUGAUCCUCUUCGACUUCUGUUCCUUCAAUCGGAUGUAAAAGAUGAGGUUGUUAAUCGAUGGAUCUCACCUGAUAUCUCUUAUUUUGAGAAAUUGGAAUGGGAGAUGUCAUGGGUUGGGUUUCUCUCUCUGAUGUAGAGCAAAGGGAAGCCAGGGAGAUCCAUGGAUGGGGGGAAGGUAAGGGGUGUUUGGGGGAGAAAAGAACUCUUGGAUCCUAUCUUGUUGUUACACAGACCUUUGCCAUGUUGGGUGCGCUCGCAUGGCAGGUCACAGAACGCUAAUAAAAUUUUUAUUUUUGUUGUGUUGCUGGGGGAGAUCGCACAGGGGUGGUCUUUUUCCCUGGGUUCUCCCCCUUCUGGCUUCUUCUCUUCUUUUUUUCCUCUCUGUUUUUUAAGCUUUUAUUUGCCCCCAACUACUUCGAUCGCUUAUACACCUAUAAGCAGUCGUCGACUUGUGAUAAAGAGAGCCUAAAGGGAUCUCCUCUCGUGGCCAUCAUCAACCCCCAAACAAUGAGGUACAACUGCACCAAUGCUUCCUAUCCAUUAAAUUUAAGUUCUUAGAGGAAAAAUGGUUUAUGGAAUUUAUUUCACUCAUUAAUUUAUUUCAGCCAAUUUUAUUGGUCGUUCGCAAGCAUCUUUAAAUCCAUGAAUAUGAAGGCACAAUUGCUGCAAUUCUGAAUAUCCGUUAUUUUUGUGUUCAUUUCAUUCCAAUUUUUUAUUCUUGGCGGUUUAUUCAGUACUCAACCUUGAAGUAUCGAACAAAUUAUGACGUUCUUGUAUCAUGCGAUUCUUCCUCCAAUUAAUUUAAUAUGAUGCGGACUAAUAUAGACCAUGCAAUUGUUUUAUUUUGUCAUGGUUCCAGUGAGAUGUUUGCUUCCAGUUUAUGUGCGAAAUUCGGCUCUAUUUGCUUGUUAAUUUGCAUAUACACGAGUUUUAUAGUGAUCUUUAUUGUGCUCUAAACGAGCCUGUGACUUUGGGGUUUCUUGUUAAUAUGUUCUUUUAUGAUAUCUAUGGGAUCACUUGCAUUCUGCAGUUGUCUCUCUUAUGUAACAUUGUCCUCUUAUCGGAGGCGAUUGUGUUUUGAGUCUGUUCCUAGGUGAGGGUUUCUCUUUGCUAUUGUUAUGUUGUGGUCGUUGGAUUUCUCUGCAUCAGUUCGAAGGCAAUUCAAGCUCGAAAGCAGGAAGACUGUGUGGAGUUGAAAGCACUGGACUGGGGAAGAUCUGCGGAAUAUCUUGGAUGAUCCAAUUUUUUAUCUUUGCAAUUGUGACAUGCAUUUAUCAAAAUGUUCUAUCCGAUGUUGCUACGAGUGGCUUGCAAUCGUCAUUAUUGAGGACAUUAUGGCUGGUCGGGCAAGUAAUCGCGAGGCAUCAUCCUUGUAGAAUGCUGGCAGGAAGCCGAGCCGACUGUUGUAGGGCAAAUCUAAAGCAAACAAGGCUGCUCGUUUCGGAGACUCGUGGUAAUGGGGCCGUUGGUCGAGGCGAGGAGAGGUGCGCAACUGAGGUCGGGUUGGGUUAAAUUGUAAAAAUUAAUUUUGUAUAUAAAUUAAUUAAGUAAAAAAUAUGUAAGUAAAUUUAUGGAUGCAAGGUAAAUGUUAUAGCUGGGAAGAAAAAAAUAUUGCUUGCAGAAAGUGAAGUAUUUUUGGAAUAAAAAAAUAAAUAAAUUGAAAUUAGUAAUUAAAACUAUAGUUUAUUGUUUAUUUUAUGUGAUAACUUUUGUUAGUUCGGUGGGAUGCUUUUUAAAUUGUUGUAGUUUUGGGGUGGGGUUUAGCUUGGGCAAUUCUCAUCGUUCGCUCCCAUGCCAGAUCGGAUGUUUGGCAUAUAAGGAGAUGAAACGGAAAUUAGAUUUCGGCCUCUAGCCCUGGGUAGUGGGAUGGAGUAGAUUGCCGCCUGGUGUUUGGGGAAUAAAUUUGAACCGGCUACUAGAUUUAUCUUCUUUGCACGGCAGUAGAGCUUUAAAUGGUGAGUAUGGGCACGGCAAAUGUUGGGGUUUUUUUUAUUUUUAAUUUAGUGGGGGUGUGGGGUGCAUGCUUGCGUCUUGGCUUGUGCUGGUAGCUGCGAAACACGUGGUAAAGUUGAGUUUGGUAGAACUCGAUGAGAAAUAUUUAAGGACGUUUUAUGUGCAAGACGAACGUUGAUGUAAGAUCUGGAUGGUGUGGUACCGGCGUUUUAUUUUUUCCGGCUUAUGCCUCCGUUUGUAAGGUGCCGGUGUCGGCUUUAUUUUUUUUUUUUUUUGGUUAACUAUUUUUGAUGGAUGAUUUCGGGAUUAGGCUACUUUUGGCGAGGUCGGGCCGUUAAAGUCAAUUUUAUAUAAUACAACCAUUUUCGUAGUACGGAGGGGGAAGUAACGUAAUAGAGUGAAAUAAUCUAUGAAUGUUUUUCAUCAAGUUUUGAAUAUCUACCAUCGGGGAAUUAAAUAGUUGUUUUAAAGGAAUUGCUGUUAAUAAAUGGUUUGAGUGGUUUUUAUUUUUUAGUUCGGCGACCUUAAUUUUUCAGAUGCUGGUAACAAUUUUGUCCUAGGGAGGCCUAUAAUGAGGCUGUGAUUGGGUAUUUGUUUUUUUUUCCCUUCAAUUUUGGAGGACGUAGAUUUGGGGAUAUGCUAACAUAAAUGUUUGUUUUUUUCUUGGCGUGUGUUGGGGAAGUGAGGUAAAAAAAAAAAAAUAAAAAAAUCGAUUGGAUUAUGGUUGGUUUGCUUGGCAAAGCAUUUAAGAACGUGUAUGUAAUUUUGAUAACGGAAGUGA